rnacentral:lncRNA from 1 species
UUCAUACUUUUCCACAUUUUCACUCUACCCCUUUUUGAUCUCAAUCAGCGACUUGAACAUUUUAAUGUUAAUCUUCCAGGUCUAACCCUCAUGAUCCAUUGCAUUGAAAACUUGCAACAUCACAUUAGGAGUCAAACUUCCCAAUUCAAGCAUAAUUCUUGUUAUGAUCCAGAACAUUAACCUUGCAUACCCAUCCGUUCCGCCGUACACCAAAGUACUCGUGGUCGCUCCAAUCGACUUCAUAUCUCCAUAUCCAUCUUUUUUAUUUUUAUAUGUUUAACUUUCUUUUUUAC